GAAAGCGNGGGUAGCAAACAGGAUUAGAUACCCUGGUAGUNCACGCCCUAAACGAUGUCGAUUAGCUGUUGGGCAGCAUGACUGCUUAGUAGCGAAGCUAACGCGUGAAAUCGACCGCCUGGGGAGUACGGUCGCAAGAUUAAAACUCAAAGGAAUUGACGGGGACCCGCACAAGCGGUGGAUGAUGUGGAUUAAUUCGAUGCAACGCGAAGAACCUUACCUGGUCUUGACAUGUACGGAACCCUCCAGAGACGGAGGGGUGCCUUCGGGAGCCGUAACACAGGUGCUGCAUGGCUGUCGUCAGCUCGUGUCGUGAGAUGUUGGGUUAAGUNNNNCAACGAGCGCAACCCUUGUCAUUAGUUGCCAUCAUUAAGUUGGGCACUCUAAUGAGACUGCCGGUGACAAGCCGGAGGAAGGUGGGGAUGACGUCAAGUCCUCAUGGCCCUUAUGACCAGGGCUUCACACGUCAUACAAUGGUCGGUACAGAGGGUAGCCAAGCCGCGAGGUGGAGCCAAUCUCACAAAACCGAUCGUAGUCCGGAUUGCACUCUGCAACUCGAGUGCANGAAGUCGGAAUCGCUAGUAAUCGCAGGUCAGCAUACUGCGGNGAAUACGUUCCCGGGUCU
rnacentral:rRNA from 1 species